rnacentral:rRNA from 1 species
AUACGUAGGGGGCGAGCGUUGUCCGGAAUGAUUGGGCGUAAAGGGCGCGUAGGCGGCCCGGUAAGUCUGGAGUGAAAGUCCUGUUUUUAAGAUGGGAAUUGCUUUGGAUACUGUCGGGCUUGAGUGCAGGAGAGGUAAGUGGAAUUCCCAGUGUAGCGGUGAAAUGCGUAGAGAUUGGGAGGAACACCAGUGGCGAAGGCGACUUACUGGACUGUAACUGACGCUGAGGCGCGGAAGUGUGGGGAGCAAACAGGAUUAGAUACCCUGGUAGUCCACACUGUAAACGAUGAAUGCUAGGUGUAGGGGGUAUCGACCCCUUCUGUGCCGCAGUCAACACAAUAAGCAUUCCGCCUGGGGAGUACGGCCGCAAGGUUGAAACUCAAAGGAAUUGACGGGG